CAAAAAAUUAUCAUAAAUUUCUAGUUUCUCCCUCUCAAUUUUAGUUUCAGCUACUGUUGAAAAUAUCGCAUUUUGCCAUGCAAAUUGAUUGAUUGAUUUUAUUAACAAAUUGUGGACAAGUCACUCGAGAGUUCGUCGGCUGAAAACUAAAAUCCCAAAAGGACAGACAACGUAUUGAACUUCGAAAAGUCUCGCGUGUCUGGCGUAUUAGGAGUUUGCCAAAAUCAAACACGUUAGUUGUGAGUUUCCCCAUUCUCCCAUUCUACACAAAAUUUGGGGGCGGAAAGUGUUGGCCAAUUUCAACAACUGCGCUUUGGUCGGUCGCAUUGCUCGUGCUCGUAAUCCACGUGGAUUAUGUCAAAAUUGGUAUAUCAUAAAAACGUCGCGUACGUGAGUUGAAAAAUGAUGAAGCUGUUGUUCCACACGGCAAAAGAUAAAAUGAGAAAAGAGAGUGUGUGGAAAGAGAAAGAGAGAGAUAGAAAUAGUCUGCACUGAAACCGAAGCCAUUAACUUUGCCUGACACUCAAACCUUUUCUUCAGAAGCAAGUGAUUAAUUUGUAUGCGCCAGGCGCUGACUUUUGCGGUCUCGGGACAAAGGCCAAAAGUGUUUGGCAUGUAACGGAAAUGCGCGCCCGGGGACAGUCCGUCCAGACAGCUCCAAAACAACUGCAAGGGAAGAGGAGGAGGAGGCAACAUAUUGUCCGUGCCAGUGUUGUUUCUUCACUUUUUUUUCUGUUUGCAACUUGUUAAGGACGAAAAUAAAAUUCAUGACGCGACAAUUGCUGCAAAUACAGAAAAAGAAUGAAAAGAAAAAGCAAAUCACACCCUGUCGUCCACUUCGUGUCAAGAUUUCAUUAAACUUUCUCAAAGACAGCCAAAGCUUGCCCAAUCUCUGUGAACGGACAAACAGACAGACGAACUAACAAAAUAAAAGGCAAAUGAAUGAAAGCGUAUAAAAACUUGGCUCAUUAAUUGAGUCGCUCUAUUAGGCUAAAGGCCAAGGCAGAAAAACAUUUCGCAUAAAUAUAAAUACCAAAAAGGGUUGGACUAUGGACUGAGGAAAUGUUUGUGGAAAACUUCGUGACGUCGAAAUACGCUUACUUCAUUUAGAAAAGGAACUGGAAGAAAUGUUUUGUUAUGAUCAGACAAAAAUAUUGUUUGAAUUAUUUGGGAAAUAAUUUUGCUUUUUAGUUGCUUUGGUCGACAGUCUGGUACAUUUUGUACAAUACCCAUUUGUAAUGAAACAAAAUGCCAUAAAGUAUACCCCAAUAAAAUACUGAAGGUACUGAAAACAUA